GUGUUUAUCGUGACUGUUUAUUCCACAACAAUAUUUUAAUACACAUUGAUUGAUUGAACUGGUUACAGUGAACUGAGACAAAGAGAACUGGGUGAACUGAAAUAGACUAGAAUAGAAAUAGAACAGAAUUGGAAUUGAAACAGAAUUGAAACAGAAUGAGAUACUGCUAGUGGAGCAGCACUUAUAUACUGGUGAUGCGACUGUAACCGGUCAGUCCAAAAAUUCAACCCCCAAAAGUGGGUGCAGUACAUUUUGUUUUCGUCCUUCACAAAUUUAUUUAAACAGGCAAUUGUUUUCAACUCAAGUUGAUCAUUAUGAAACUGUGCCACCCCUCUAAGUAAGUCUCGUGACCAAAAGGUAAUCGCCCAUCGGGAUUACGUCAUUAGCAUUCUAUCCGAUUCUCAUUUCUAACCCAGGCUUGUGCUGAAUGCACAUUAUGCAAAUAACGUGUUUUAGAAGAUUUCCACUCAGACUCCAGCCCUAUUGUUACAUUCAUGCCUCGCUGAUCACCAUGGUACAGCGACCUAGCGUGCACGGGCUUUAUCUUAAGCUGUUGUUUCGGUGCUGGGCUAGGCCUUCAUUACUGUCGUUGUGCUCCUCACGCUCACUGCAUGCAACUCAUUACACUGUUCAAAAUUAUCAUUUUGGCUCGGUAUAAAAUUGUUUAUUCUAAUUGAAUGUGCACAUUGUGUCCAAUUUAUAUUGUAUGAACAAAGACAUCGUUACCAUUUAUUCCAAGAUCAACACCAAGAGGGGCAAUGUCUUCAAGAGUAGAAAGAGGCCCAGUGUUUUCGUACCCCUGUCCACUUAGGAAAGAGUUGCAGCUUUCAUCAAAGAAACUGAUGAUCUAAAAGUUGAGACAGACUGGAUGAGCUAGGCUGCUUUGUCUGGACGAAAAUGAACCCUCCAAGGCUCCAACAGCCUCAUCACACAGAAACUCGGGAAACCGAGAAAAAAACUAGCUUGCACAAUAUGAAAUGAUAAAUCAGACUGCAUAAUGCAACGUCAUUAAUGUUAUACACUAAGGCAACAACACUAAAAUAAAAUGAAAAGUAAUUUUGAUUUCAUUAAAUUAUUUAUGCCUCUAAAAUAAUCUUAAACCGGAUACUGCAACAGACAGUUAACAAUGGACAAUAAUGGAAACUUGCUGAAAAAAUUAUUGUAAGGGUAAUAAUUUGUCACUGGCUUUUUAGCAGUGACAUGUCUGGGAGAAGGGAUGUUCCUUUGAUCUGUCCUGGGUCAUCCAAAAUUAUUGCAUCAAUAAGUUAAUAAUUUCAUACUCCUUACCUUUAAUGCAUUCAAUUGGAUCUUCUCGGUAAAUUAUAAACGAGGUCUCGCCUAAGGCUUUCUAUUUGCUUUUUGUUCAGUUGACAAUGGAGAAUUUUGCUCUAUCAAUUUAAUUUGAUAUUAAAAGUGCAUUUUUAAGAAAAACCAAUUCAAGUCAUAAGAGUUUUGAAAGAUUUCAAAAAGGAUUAAUUUAUUGUUUAAAAACUGAAGAAAUGUAACAAACUUUAUUUAAAUGUAACGUCUUUAACAAGACGUCGGUUUAACUAAAACGUGACUUUCUUUCCAUUGUAUAUUUAUUAGAAAACACAAGAACGUUUAAUUUUUAGGAAAAUUUUAAGAAUAAACUGUUCAGGAACUUCUAUCCAUCAAAAUGCAUUGCAACAGGUAUAAGUGACACUCAAAUUACACUUGUGUUUGUCCUUUUGUGAUUUAUUUCAUUGCACUUUUUUCACUUGUUAUAUUUUUUUACUUCGUAUGCACAAUUGUUUUUCUUGGUGGUUUUGCAUGUCUUUUCAUUUUCUUAUUAAUAAUUAACUAACCUCACAAAAGGAUAAACGCAAUAUAUAUCGAGUGUUGAACUUGCCUCGCAUCAAAUAUUUUUUUCACAAUAGCUAAAUUAGACAAAUAUAGUCCUGAAAUGUUUCAAAAUAAUCUAGGAAUUUUUUUUGGUGGGGGGGGCAUUCCCAAGUUUUAUCUUCCCUUUUUAAAAUCUUAUUCACAAAAUGGCGAAAUACAAAAAGCUGGCGUUACCGUGUACAGUCAUGUAGUCGUUGCUUAUGUAAUAAUCAUCUAUGAUAUAAAGUGAUUAUUAAUUUCUCAAAUUCAUUGGCCUUCUGCCCAACUUUUUUCCUCAUGUGGAAUCGUUGUAUUUGUUUGUAUGGAUUGGUUUAAAUAUUUGUAUGUCUAUAAGACUAAGAAAUUAAACAAAAUAAAUAAAACUCGAAAGAUGUGAGACACUUGA